rnacentral:rRNA from 1 species
UACAGAGGAGCCAAGCGUUGUCCGGAUUGACUGGGCGUAAAGCGCACGCAGGCGGUUGCGCGCGUUGGGGUGUGAAAUCUGGCCGCUUAACCGGCCAGGCGCCAUCCCAUACGGCGCGACUGGAGCGAUGCAGAGGUCGGGUGGAAUUGCCGGUGUAGUGGUGAAAUGCGUAGAGAUCGGCAGGGAACACCCCAGGGGGAA